rnacentral:rRNA from 1 species
UACAGAGGGUGCAAGCGUUGUUCGGAAUUACUGGGCGUAAAGCGCGUGUAGGCGGGUGCGCAAGUCCGUUGUGAAAUCCCUGGGCUCAACCCAGGAACUGCAUCGGAAACUGCGUGUCUUGAGUAAUGGAGAGGGAAGUGGAAUUCCCGGUGUAGAGGUGAAAUUCGUAGAUAUCGGGAGGAACACCAGUGGCGAAGGCGGCUUCCUGGACAUUUACUGACGCUGAGACGCGAAAGCGUGGGGAGCAAACAGG